UUUNCAUAUUCAAGAGCUGUGGCCCACUUUCCCACAGCAGUUAAGGAGUUCAAAUGGAGGAAUGGUUGGUUUUAUUCUCUCUUUGAGAAGGCCACUGCCCAAGGCAACCCAGACCCAUGCCCUUUGCAUUCCCAAUGGCUAAAAGAGUUGAGAAUUGUUUGAAUUUAACUUCAACUCUAGUGUCUUGUGUGUGCUUUGUGGUGUCAAGAAAUAUUUGAUACCUUUGCUUAUUGAUGUUCGUUUUAUAAAUAAUCAUCGAGCAUCUACUGAUAAUUACUACCAUAAUUACUUAUCAUAUACAAUUUGUCUCACUUGUUCUUA